rnacentral:rRNA from 1 species
UACGGAGGGAGCUAGCGUUGUUCGGAUAUACUGGGCGUAAAGCGCACGUAGGCGGCGCAGCAAGUCAGGGGUGAAAUCCCGGAGCUCAACUCCGGAACUGCCUUUGAAACUGCAGUGCUAGAAUCCUGGAGAGGCGAGUGGAAUUCCGAGUGUAGAGGUGAAAUGCGCAGAUAUCAGGAAGAACACCCGUGGCGAAAGCGGCUCUCUGGAACGGUACUGACGCUGAGACGCGAAAGCGUGGGGGGCGAACAGG